rnacentral:rRNA from 1 species
UACGUAGGGUGCAAGCGUUUGUCCGGAAUUAUUGGGCGUAAAGAGCUCGUAGGCGGUUUGUCGCGUCUGCUGUGAAAACUCGGGGCUCAACUCCGAGCUUGCAGUGGGUACGGGCAGACUAGAGUGCGGUAGGGGGAGACUGGAAUUCCUGGUGUAGCGGUGGAAUGCGCAGAUAUCAGGAGGAACACCGAUAGCGAAGGCAGCUCGCUGGGACGGUACUGACGCUGGAGGCGCGAAAGCGUGGGGAGCGAACAGG